rnacentral:misc_RNA from 1 species
CUGGAAUGGCUCACCGGAGUUCCUCCGCCCCCCAAGGCUUUCUCACCGUCGUUCUCCCCUCUCUGCUCAUGGAUUCACGGCCCUUUCCCCGCCAUCGAGUUUGUCGUGGCACCCUCUUCCUCUCUGCCCAACUCCGGCGACCCCAGAGCCAUCCUAGCUCGCACUUGCCUCAACUUCGGCGACCUCACCGCCACGGAGAGGAGCAGCGCCGCCCGCAGCCGUCUGUCCCCCUGGUCUGAUCCCCUCCGUCUGAUUCAGAUCGCACGGCUCAGACCGCGGGUACCGCUUCGCGCACGAGCGCCUGACGCCCUGGCCCUCCUGUUAGUGCCGCCCGCAGCCGUCCGUCCCCCUGGUCUGAUCCCCUCCGUCCGAUUCAGAUCGCACGGCCCGGACCGCGGGUACCGCUUCGCGCACGCACGCCCUGACUCCAUAGCCCGCCUUUCAGCGCCCAAACCCUCGGGCACUGGGCCCACUCGAGGAGAGAAGAAGGCUUGGGAACUCCCGGAAGGAGCCAUAGUCUUGGAAGGAAUUCCAGCCUCCCCUCAGGCUAUGGAUAAGCAAGAGCACCCUGAAUCCUCCCAAGAUCCCCUGCCAGAGUUGUUUGAGCCCCUCACCAUGAAGAAGAUUCCAGCACCCUCCCUUGAGAUCAAAGAAGAAGCUGCAAGCACCCUGCCAGCACCAUCGCCCUCUGAGGAGCUACAAGAGCCAGUCCCGCUUGAAGAAGAGUUUGACCCCGUCUUGCCAUCUCAGUCGCCACCAGAAGAAGUCACCAACAUCAGCUCCCUCUUGACCCAUCUAGGAGAUAUCUUAGAUUGA